CCCUUAGAUGUUCUGGGCCGCACGCGUGCUACACUGAGUGGAUCAGCGGGUCAGGUUGCGCGAAAGUGUUUCCUAAUCUUUAAAUCCGCUCGUGAUGGGGAUUGACGGUUGCAAUUUUCUGUCAUGAACGAGGAAUACCUUGUAAGCGCGGGUCAUCAUCCCGCGCUGAAUACGUCCCUGCCAUUUGUACACACCGCCCGUCGCUCCUACCGAUUGAGUGGUCCGGUGAGGCUUUGGGAUCUGAGCGGAAAGAGCGUUUCGCUGUUUCUGCCCGGAAAACUCAGUCGAACCUUAUCAUUUAGAGGAAGGAGAAGUCGUAACA
rnacentral:rRNA from 1 species